rnacentral:rRNA from 1 species
UGAAACAAGGGGAAGGCUCACGUAGAGGCAGCAGUAGAGAAUCUUGUGCAAUGCACGAAAGUAUGACACAGAGAGGACACAUUUAAUUGAGCCCGUCAAAUUAAGUGCCAGCCGACGCGGUUAGACUUAAGGGCUGGUCUUUAUAAGUAAAAAGGCGUAAAGGAUGUGUAGGCCAAGAAAUUAUCCCAAGAAGGUAAAUGGAAUUUUUCUGGAGCGGUAGAAUGUGAGGAUAGAAAAUAGAACACCUAAGGUUAAAACUAUUUACCACAAGAUAGGCUGAAACAUGAAAGUGUGGGGAGCAAACAGGAUUAGAGACCCUGGUAGUCCACUCUGUGAACUUUGAAGAGGAUGCUUAGCAGGCCCGAAAGGUAAAAUCUUCCGCCUGAGUAGUACGAUCGCAAGAUUAAAAUUCAAAAACUUUGGCUGUUCACUAUUUCGAUUAGAGGAGCGUGUAGUUUAAUUCGAUGGUCCGCGCGUUACCUUACCCCAGCUUGAAUCUGUGACCGGUAUUGCAUGGCCGUCGUAAGUCCGUGUGUUAAAUUAGAAGGGACUCAAGCCGGGCUCCCGCCCGGAGGAAGUCAGGUCUUAUGAUCCGAAUGCUGGGGGAUUUUAUGCGCUACAUUUUCUUAUAUAAUGAGAGACUUGAAAGGUAAGCCUCUAAAGUAAGAGUUCGGAAGGCCGCUGUAAAACGACUGGAAGUUGGAUUUAAUAGUAAUCGGAAAGUAGGGCGUUCCGGUGAAUUGGUACAAGUGUUAGCACAAAUUGCCCGUCACCUUUACCUAGAAUGGUUAUUCGGACGCCUUCGGUGGUUACGAAUGCCUACGAGGUAAAGCAAGUCGUAACAU